GUUGCCAGUCGUCCAUUACCACCCGGCCCAAACCCUAGCGAUGAGACAAGGUUAUCUUUCCGAUCUUUCCUGCCAGUACACAAUCGACCUGCCGUCCAUUGCGGCAAUUGAGGUGAUUGUGAUGAUUGUGAUGAUGGUAAUGAUCGUGAUCGAUCAUGAUCGAUCAUGAUCCGGUCACGAUUCCGUUGAUGGCUUUCGGUUUGGCCGAAGGGGAACGUGCCAUGCAGAUGGAGGCAGUGUGUACCAUGGGGACACCUAAGUAUAUCUGCUGGUCUGUAUGUUGGUGUAUCCCAGAAGGUGGUACCCUCUUCCUGAAAGGAAGUUAAUAUGGAUAAGGUCACCUGUGUUCCCAAAUGGGAAAGAGCUUUUGAAAGCAGUAUUUCCAUUCACUCAAGACAUGGUGUGGGACAGCUCUUCCAAUAGCAACAGAGUAUUCCUUCUGCAAAAGAAAUUUCUUAGAAUCAAGGCAGGAAAACUCGGAUGACCAUGCAGUCAAUACAGGAUGCAAGUGCGAUCGUCACGGAGCAGUUGCAGAUCUUACUUUGUUAUGUUUGAGAUAUGUUAAUUGAAGCUGUAAAUUGAGAAUACAUGCUGUUGACAUCAGUCUCCCACUUUCUUGGAAAUACUGUCCUCCAGUGAAGAGAAGGCAAGGCAAGUGCUGGAUAGAAUAAUAAUAUACUAAACAUUAGUGUCUUGUGGGGUAUGGCACCAUGUAGUCUGGCAGAGGAAAGUGCUGCCUCCCUUGUUAGGUGAAGAAGUGCACCUCAGGUCACACGUAAACAUACACUGAUGCAGUGUUGGGCAGUAGCCACUGCUGAGACUCAGUUCUGUAUUUAUCCAGUAGAGUUUUCGGAGUGUACAGUGUCGAAACCUCAGUGAAGUCGGAUGAAAAUAUUUGUCUUACAGUUACAGUUACAAAGCCUUUCUUUCUGCCUCAUGUCUUCCCAUAGCUCAUCUAUUUUGCAUGACUUUUUUCUAACCAAUUGUGCCUGUUUUGGUUGUCAUCUCGGGCAUUCUCCCUUAAUUUCAUAUUCAAAAUCUUACAUGGCAUUGUUUGUUCAGUCUUAGAAUGUUCUAUAUACCAUCUUAAUUUGUCCUUUAUGAAUAUAUCUCUAAACCAAGUUUUUUCUUCUCGUAUUCUCUCUUAGUUUUUUCUUCUAUACUUAAAAAUCUCUUCUGACCUGCUGCUGGUCUGUUCAUUAAUAUUGGCCUGUAGCAGUAUUUAAUAAACACAUUUUUUCUUUAGCAAUUCCCAUUUCGAAAGUGUAUCCCCAGUUAACUGGCCGAAUUUUGCUGCAUUCUUUUUGUAAUUUAUUUUACUCUUCCAUUUGUCUCUCUUUUACUUCCACAGUUUUAAAACUGGCUGUUUUCAUUGUUUCAUGAUUAUUACAUUUCAUCGUUUCUGAUUUAUAUAAGGCUGUAAUGGACUUUCCAUAUAUUCCUUGAACUGUUUCACAGAUGUUACUAAAAUUCGAUGCGGGAGUUCCAUCAUAUCAGGCAGUACUGAUUUUCAGCCAUUUGCAUUCAAAAUAAAGCUUAGUUCAUAUAAGGUCUUAAAUCAACUUUUGCAUAUAUCACAUCAACCAUUUCAUAGGUAUUGGUGAAAUUCAACAGAGGUUAUUAAUACACACUCAUCACACAGAGCAAAUUAUAGUACUUUAUCACUUGGUACUUUUUACUUCCAUUACAUCUUGAGUUGGGGUAGCGCAAUCAGUGUCAUUAGAGUAUUCCUGGAAAACAACCUUCUCUGUUCUGGUUUAAACUCUUAAUGGCGUGAAGACAUUUCAGGUGACAGAAUGUGAGGCAUUUUAAUGGCAGCAUUGCAGUGCUUAUGUUUUAGUUUCAGCUGACAGAAUGUUUAUGUGUGAUUUUCAAGUGACGUGAGGCAUUUUGACAGCAAUGUUGCAGCACAUUAUGUGUGAAGUUUCAAGUUACAGUGUGAGGCAUUUUAACAGCAGUGUUGCAGUGCAUCAUGUGUCUUUCAAGUGACAGUGUGAGGAAUUUUAAUGGCAGUGUUGCAGUGCAUUAAGUGUGAGUUUCAAGUGACAGAAUGUGAGGCAUUUUAAUGGCAGUGUUGCAGUGCAUCAUGUGUCUUUCAAGUGACAGUGUGAGGAAUUUUAAUGGCAGUGUUGCAGUGCAUUAAGUGUGAGUUUCAAGUGACAGAAUGUGAGGCAUUUUAAUGGCAGUGUUGCAGUGCUUAUGUGUGAUUUUUUAAUUAAACCAUGUAGGGUACAACAGCACCCAGUCAGCUGUUGUGAGUUGUGGGCUGAAUUUGAAGCCAGUAGAUGCAUGGUGUACUAGUGUAAUUGGAAAACAGAGUCUCUGUGUUUCAGAUAGUACCUGUGCACCGGUAAACAUUUCAUGAGGUAUGGUGAUCUAAAAUCUCCUGUUCUGUCUUUACACCAGCAACAUUUGAAUUUCCCACCGCGUUGUGAUCAUAUGUUUAGUGCUAUGUCUUUCAUAGUUACCUUCUUUGACAUCUCUUUUUCCAAGUAGUUUGUCUAGGGGAGCAACAGAUGGCAGGAGGCUUAGAUUUUCUAAACAAACCUCUAUGCAUGUUUUUGUGUUUGUUAUACCUCAUAGGCAGCCUCCGUGAAACUCCCAUGUUAUUGGUUGGCAACGUGGCCGCCAUGUCACCUAGGUGCAGUGCUGCUGCCAUUUCUACGCAGCUUCAUCAGUAAUCUGUCAGACGACAGGUCCACAGUCUCUUCCAAAACAAUUCCUCCACUUA